rfam:Thermus aquaticus Y51MC23 ctg58, whole genome shotgun sequence.
ACCGUAAAAACCCGCAAAACCACAAAGGCCAACAAGCCUGCUGCUCUCGCGGCUUAAUGACCGCGACCUCGCCCGGUAGCCCUGCCGGGGGCUCACCGGAAGCGGGGACACAAACCCGGCUAGCCUGGGGCCACGCCCCCUAACCCCAGGCGAAGCGCAAGGGGGCUCGCCCCUGGCCGCCCGUCCGCGGGCCAAGCCAGGGGGACACCCAAAACGCGGACUACGCGCGU